rnacentral:rRNA from 1 species
CUACGGGUCGCAGCAGUGGGGAAUAUUGCACAAUGGGCGCAAGCCUGAUGCAGCCAUGCCGCGUGUAUGAAGAAGGCCUUCGGGUUGUAAAGUACUUUCAGCGGGGAGGAAGGGAGUAAAGUUAAUACCUUUGCUCAUUGACGUUACCCGCAGAAGAAGCACCGGCUAACUCCGUGCCAGCAGCCGCGGUAAUACGGAGGGUGCAAGCGUUAAUCGGAAUUACCGGGCGUAAAGCGCACGCAGGCGGUUUGUUAAGUCAGAUGUGAAAUCCCCGGGCUCAACCUGGGAACUGCAUCUGAUACUGGCAAGCUUGAGUCUCGUAGAGGGGGGUAGAAUUCCAGGUGUAGCGGUGAAAUGCGUAGAGAUCUGGAGGAAUACCGGUGGCGAAGGCGGCCCCCUGGACGAAGACUGACGCUCAGGUGCGAAAGCGUGGGGAGCAAACAGGAUUAGAUACCCCGGUAGUC